GGAUGUUGGAGAGGGCUCCUCCAGGACAGCAGCCGCAGAUCAGAAUCACCACAGCUGUGGUUUCAGGCAGCUGGAACCCCUGCAACACAAUAACACAGGAAAUCUGAAGAAAGUAUAUGGAUGAGUCGUGUUAAUAAGAAAAAUAAGGGGCUUUAUGACCAGGCAGGUGAUGUCUUGAAGGUCGUUCAACUCAGUAUAUCAACAAUCAAGGAAAUAGCUAUCAGUCCACCAGUCUGUCUGUGAAAGACUCAUAAAUAAUAAAGAAGAUGAUGGCUAAUGAUUAUUAAAGCAUGUCAGUACAACAUAAAUCAUUACAGUUGAAUGACAGGCAGGAAAACCUGCCGGAUUUUAAAAUUAUGACUUCAUCUUAUUCACAUGAUUCCUCAAAAUAUUUUAACAAUAAUGUUACUCUGUGUAAAAUACCAAAAAAUGUAGAAAUGUUCUAACUCAAAGUACACAUCUAAAAGAGUUUACAAAUUUGUCAGGGGAAACCUAUGUCUGAAAACCUGCACAGAAAGAAACUAAAAGCUUAGUAGCUGUCUUUUAAGACUGAGCAUUGUUUUCAUCUCCAAGAUCUUCACUGAAUGUUGCCACCAGGCCAACGGUCAGCAUUAAGAGCAGAACCACCAGACUGCUGCGAAACUCUCUAUAAAUCCAAGAGAAAUGCUGUCUUAUUUUACUCCAUUCUAUUAUCUAUAUACCAUAAAUAGUCUAUUAAAUUUGAUUUGAUUUAAGGCUAUUGACGGCACAUCUCGUGUCUGAUUGUCCCCCAGAACCCCACAAGAAAUCUUCACCUGUGCAAACUGUGAAAAAGUUUUUUUUUUUUUUUUACUGAAGGUAGCCAAAGGAAGAUCAAAGUUAUGUCUGACCAGGAUAUGUCAUACUUCACAAGAGUGCAGAACUUAUAGGAAGCCCUCUUUCUGCAUACAUCUGUAUAUUAACCAUGGCCAUGAAGUUGCUUUAAAAGAAACAAAAAAGCAGUUUCCCUCUUUAUUAUUAUGUUGAUAAAGACUGAAGCAAAACAUUCAUAAACUUAAGCAUAAGGACUUACUAAAUUUAGCUGUAGGUUUGCUCUUUAUAUUGAUACACAAGUAUGACUGGUUAAUAAAUAGCUGUUUAUUAGUCUGACUAUCUGCCUGGGUUGCGCCUGCAGUUCCCUGAUGAACAUACAUACUGUGUGUAGUUUCCUAUUUGUAAUUUUAAAGCAGUGUUACUUUAAUAGAAGUGAUGGCUGGCGAUACUUUAGUAUCCGCAACAUUACUGCCUGUGUUUUCUGUGACAGAUAGCAUUUCCAAAUAGCUAAAUUUGUCUUGUUAGCCCUCUUUCAGCCAGCUGACCGACAGAGUGAAGCAACAGGUGGGGGAGGGACAGCUCUAUGGUACCUUGUGCUUUAGCCGUACAGUCAGAGAAAACUUCACCUGCCACCAGUCCUUCAGUGCCUGAGUGUUGUUGCCCUAGUGGAAAACACCAAGCCAGAGAAACUUUACCAGUCUGUUUUUGGCUUUUGCUAAUCCUGUUUAUCUUUCCCUGCUCCUUGUUAGAAACCUGUGAGGUGUGGGCUGUUACCUAUGGAGCUGGACUCAGACAUUCUACACCUUCUACUGCUGUUUGUGAAUUUGGAUUAUUAUUCUCUGACUGUGGCACGGUUCCUAACCUUCCUAACAUCUGCCUCUGUGAGAACUCUGGACCGAACUUUGGACAAGCUAUUUGGAUUGCCUGACUCCCAAGCCCAGUGGUAUGACCCUCCUGAAUUUCUCUGCUCCAGUGAUCAAUGGACCCGAAGAACCUUCCAACCCUCGUUCCAGUAGAACUCUCCUUGUGUGUUUAAAUAAACCUUUGAAACUUG